rnacentral:rRNA from 1 species
GACGAACGCUGGCGGCGUGCUUAACACAUGCAAGUCGAGCGGUAAGGCCCUUUCGGGGGUACACGAGCGGCGAACGGGUGAGUAACACGUGGGUGACCUGCCCUCAGCUCUGGGAUAAGCCUGGGAAACCGGGUCUAAUACCGGAUAUGACUCCAUGACGCAUGUUGUGGGGUGGAAAGCCUUGUGCGGCUGAGGAUGGGCCCGCGGCCUAUCAGCUUGUUGGUGGGGUGAUGGCCUACCAAGGCGACGACGGGUAGCCGGCCUGAGAGGCGACCGGCCACACUGGGACUGAGACACGGCCCAGACUCCUACGGGAGGCAGCAGUGGGGAAUCUUGCGCAAUGGGCGAAAGCCUGACGCAGCGACGCCGCGUGAGGGAUGACGGCCUGUGUAACU